rnacentral:rRNA from 1 species
CGGAUCGCAGGCUGCAACCCGCCUGCGUGAAGUCGGAAUCGCUAGUAAUCGCGGAUCAGCAUGCCGCGGUGAAUACGUUCCCGGGCCUUGUACACACCGCCCGUCACACCAUGAGAGUCGGGAACACCCGAAGCCCGUAGCCUAACAGCAAUGAGGGCGCGGUCGAAGGUGGGUUCGAUAAUUGGGGUGAAGUCGUAACAAGGUACC